CAGCCGCCGCGGUAAUACGGAGGGUGCAAGCGUUAAUCGGAAUUACUGGGCGUAAAGCGCACGCAGGCGGUCUGUCAAGUCAGAUGUGAAAUCCCCGGGCUUAACCUGGGAACUGCAUUUGAAACUGGCAGGCUAGAGUCUUGUAGAGGGGGGUAGAAUUCCAGGUGUAGCGGUGAAAUGCGUAGAGAUCUGGAGGAAUACCGGUGGCGAAGGCGGCCCCCUGGACAAAGACUGACGCUCAGGUGCGAAAGCGUGGGGAGCAAACAGGAUUAGAUACCCCAGUAGUCCCUGUCUCUUAUAA
rnacentral:rRNA from 1 species